rnacentral:tRNA from 1 species
UGCGGGGUUGUUCAUGGUUCGUUCGCCAUGACUCAUAACCUGAAGGUCACAGGUUCAAAUCCUGUCCCCGCAACCA